rnacentral:rRNA from 1 species
GUAGAACGCUAGUGAUGCCAUACUUCCGAGAAAAGCUCGUACACCUCUUAUGUUUACAUAAGAUCCAACAUUUAAAUGACCUGUACCUGAAACCGACACAGGUAGGUAAGUAGAGAAUACUAAGGGGCGCGAGAGAACUCUCUCUAAGGAACUCGGCAAACUGGCCCCGUAACUUCGGAAGAAGGGGCGCCUCUGUAAAAAGAGGUCGCAGUGUCAGGCUCUGGCGACUGUUUAUCAAAAACACAGGUCUUCGCAAAGCCGUAAGGCAAAGUAUGAGGGCUGACGCCUGCCCAGUGCUGGAAGGUGAAGGAAGUUGGUUAUUAACUUAGGUUGAGAAGCUGACGACCGAAGCCCCAGUGAACGGCGGCCGUAACAAUGACGGUCCUAAGGUAGCGUAACCCACUGUCGGGUAAGUUCCGACCUGCAUGAAUGGCGUAACGAUCUGAGCGCUGUCUCGGAGAGAGGCUCGGUGAAAUAGACUUAUCCGUGAAGAUGCGGAUUAAAUGUACUUGGACAGAAAGACCCUAUGAAGCUUGAUCGUAAUCUGCAAUUGGGUUCGGGCUUUUCUUGCGCAGCCUAGGUGGGAGGCGUUGAAGAUUUCCUUCUGGGGAAGUUGGAGCCAUCAGUGAGAGACCACUCUGGGAAGGCUAGAAUCCUAAUGGUGAUCCUUGAAUCAGGACACUUGACAGUUUCAGAUGCACGAUUUUUCUGGGGCGGAAGCCUCAUAAAAAGUAACUGAGGCGCGCAAAGGUUCCCUCAGUCUGGAUGGAAAUCAGACGUGGAGUGUAAAGGCAAAAGGGAGCUUGACUGUAAGACCUACAAGUCAAACAGGGGCUAAAGCCGGCCUUAGUGAUCCGACGGUGCCGAGUGGAAGGGCCGUCGCUCAACGGAUAAAAGUUACUCUAGGAUAACAGGCUAAUCUUCUCCAAGAGUCCACAUCGACGAGGGGGUUUGGCACCUCGAUGUCGGCUCAUCACAUCCUGGGGCUGUAGUAGGUCCCAAGGGUUGGGCUUUCGCCCAUUAAAGUGGUACGUGAGCUGGGUUCAAAACGUCGUGAGACAGUUUGGUCCAUAUCCGGUACAUUCGUUAGAGCAUUGAGAGGAGAUAACGUUAGUACGAGAGGAUUACGUUGUACCUGCCUAUAGUAUACCAGUUCUUCUUCCAAGGGGAAACGCUGGGUAGCCACGCAGGGAGUGGAUAAACGCUGAAAGCAUCUAAGCGUGAAGCCCACCUCAAGAUGAGUGCUCUCUUAAGGUCGCGGCAAGACCAGCCGUUAUAUAGGUAUUAGGUGUAAGGUCAGUAAUGAUUUUAGCUAAGAUAUACUAAAGACCGAUUGAUUUU